AUUGAACGCUGGCGGCAGGCCUAACACAUGCAAGUCGAACGGUAACAGGAAGCAGCUUGCUGCUUUGCUGACGAGUGGCGGACGGGUGAGUAAUGUCUGGGAAACUGCCUGAUGGAGGGGGAUAACUACUGGAAACGGUAGCUAAUACCGCAUAACGUCGCAAGACCAAAGAGGGGGACCUUCGGGCCUCUUGCAAUCGGAUGUGCCCAGAUGGGAUUAGCUAGUAGGUGGGGUAACGGCUCACCUAGGCGACGAUCCCUAGCUGGUCUGAGAGGAUGACCAGCCACACUGGAACUGAGACACGGUCCAGACUCCUACGGGAGGCAGCAGUGGGGAAUAUUGCACAAUGGGCGCAAGCCUGAUGCAGCCAUGCCGCGUGUAUGAAGAAGGCCUUCGGGUUGUAAAGUACUUUCAGCGGGGAGGAAGGGAGUAAAGUUAAUACCUUUGCUCAUUGACGUUACCCGCAGAAGAAGCACCGGCUAACUCCGUG
rnacentral:rRNA from 1 species